AAAGAUUUAGUUAAAUUAAUAACAUUAGUUUGUCAAACUAAAAUUACCUUAUAGUAUUCUUUA
rnacentral:tRNA from 1 species